rnacentral:tRNA from 1 species
GGGCCGUUAGCUCAUCGGUUAGAGUACCUCGUUGACAUCGAGGGGGUAGUUAGUUCGAUUCUAACACGGCCCACCA